rnacentral:tRNA from 1 species
GUCAGUUUGGCCGAGUGGUCUAAGGCGCCAGACUCAAGUUCUGUUGGAGAAAUCCGCGUGGGUUCGAACCCCACAGCUGACA